GGGUUGUGAGGUUAAGCGACUAAGCGUACACGGUGGAUGCCCUGGCAGUCAGAGGCGAUGAAGGGCGUGCUAAUCUGCGAUAAGCGCCGGUAAGGUGAUAUGAACCGUUAUAACCGGCGAUACCCGAAUGGGGAAACCCAGUGUGAUUCGUCACACUAUCAUUAACUGAAUCCAUAGGUUAAUGAGGCGAACCGGGGGAACUGAAACAUCUAAGUACCCCGAGGAAAAGAAAUCAACCGAGAUUCCCCCAGUAGCGGCGAGCGAACGGGGAGGAGCCCAGAGCCUGAAUCAGCAUGUGUGUUAGUGGAAGCGUCUGGAAAGGCGCGCGAUACAGGGUGACAGCCCCGUACACAAAAGCGCAUGUGCUGUGAGCUCGAUGAGUAGGGCGGGACACGUGGUAUCCUGUCUGAAUAUGGGGGGACCAUCCUCCAAGGCUAAAUACUCCUGACUGACCGAUAGUGAACCAGUACCGUGAGGGAAAGGCGAAAAGAACCCCGGCGAGGGGAGUGAAAAAGAACCUGAAACCGUGUACGUACAAGCAGUGGGAGCACAGGUUUACCUGUGUGACUGCGUACCUUUUGUAUAAUGGGUCAGCGACUUAUAUUCUGUAGCAAGGUUAACCGUAUAGGGGAGCCGGAGGGAAACCGAGUCUUAAUUGGGCGUUAAGUUGCAGGGUAUAGACCCGAAACCCGGUGAUCUAGCCAUGGGCAGGUUGAAGGUUGGGUAACACUAACUGGAGGACCGAACCGACUAAUGUUGAAAAAUUAGCGGAUGACCUGUGGCUGGGGGUGAAAGGCCAAUCAAACCGGGAGAUAGCUGGUUCUCCCCGAAAGCUAUUUAGGUAGCGCCUCGUGAAUUCAUCUCCGGGGGUAGAGCACUGUUUCGGCUAGGGGGCCAUCCCGGCUUACCAACCCGAUGCAAACUGCGAAUACCGGAGAAUGUUAUCACGGGAGACACACGGCGGGUGCUAACGUCCGUCGUGAAGAGGGAAACAACCCAGACCGCCAGCUAAGGUCCCAAAGUCAUGGUUAAGUGGGAAACGAUGUGGGAAGGCCCAGACAGCCAGGAUGUUGGCUUAGAAGCAGCCAUCAUUUAAAGAAAGCGUAAUAGCUCACUGGUCGAGUCGGCCUGCGCGGAAGAUGUAACGGGGCUAAACCAUGCACCGAAGCUGCGGCAGCGAACGUAUCACCCAAGACAACUUUACGGAGUUGACGAUUGACGGAGCGAAGCGACGUCAAAGCGUUCAUUAAAGUCGAGUUGGCUUAGGGAUACGUUCGUUGGGUAGGGGAGCGUUCUGUAAGCCUGUGAAGGUGUGUCGUGAGGCAUGCUGGAGGUAUCAGAAGUGCGAAUGCUGACAUAAGUAACGAUAAAGCGGGUGAAAAGCCCGCUCGCCGGAAGACCAAGGGUUCCUGUCCAACGUUAAUCGGGGCAGGGUGAGUCGACCCCUAAGGCGAGGCCGAAAGGCGUAGUCGAUGGGAAACGGGUUAAUAUUCCCGUACUUGGUGUUACUGCGAAGGGGGGACGGAGAAGGCUAUGUUGGCCGGGCGACGGUUGUCCCGGUUUAAGCGUGUAGGUGUGUGUUCCAGGUAAAUCCGGUUCACUUUAACACUGAGGCGUGACGACGAGGCACUACGGUGCUGAAGCAACAAAUGCCCUGCUUCCAGGAAAAGCCUCUAAGCAUCAGGUAACAUCAAAUCGUACCCCAAACCGACACAGGUGGUCAGGUAGAGAAUACCAAGGCGCUUGAGAGAACUCGGGUGAAGGAACUAGGCAAAAUGGUGCCGUAACU
rnacentral:rRNA from 1 species